GAUGAACGCUAGCGGGAGGCCUAACACAUGCAAGCCGAGCGGUAGAGUUCCUUCGGGAACUUGAGAGCGGCGUACGGGUGCGUAACACGUGUGCAACCUACCUUUAUCUGGGGGAUAGCCUUUCGAAAGGAAGAUUAAUACCCCAUAAUAUAAUGAUUGGCAUCAAUUAUUAUUGAAAACUCCGGUGGAUAGAGAUGGUCACGCGCAAGAUUAGAUAGUUGGUGAGGUAACGGCUCACCAAGUCAAUGAUCUUUAGGGGUCCUGAGAGGGAGAUCCCCCAAACUGGGACCGAGACACGGACCAGACCCCUACGGGAGGCAGCAGUGAGGAAUAUUGGACAAUGGGUGAAAGCCUGAUCCAGCCAUCCCGCGUGAAGGAUGACGGUCCUAUGGAUUGUAAACUUCUUUUGGACAGGGAUAACCCUACUCUCGUGAGGGUAGCUGAAGGUACUGUACGAAUAAGCACCGGCUAACUACGUG
rnacentral:rRNA from 1 species